UACAUCUCAGAAGCAAUUAGCUUACUGCAUACGGGAUGCAAUGUUGACGUUCGGAAACAUGGGCGAGAAAUAUUUUCGACGUGCGAACGUUACUAUGGAGAUCUACCGUGGUGUCAUACAUGAUACUGAGGUCUGCUUUCUGAAGAACGACCUCGUGCCCCGGGAUGGGAACAUUGCGUUGGC